UACGUAGGGUGCAAGCGUUAUCCGGAAUUAUUGGGCGUAAAGAGCUCGUAGGCGGCUUGUUACGUCGUUCGUGAAAACUUGGGGCUCAACCCCAAGCUUGCGGUCGAUACGGGCAGGCUAGAGUUCGGUAGGGGAGACUGGAAUUCCUGGUGUAGCGGUGAAAUGCGCAGAUAUCAGGAGGAACACCGGUGGCGAAGGCGGGUCUCUGGGCCGAUACUGACGCUGAGGAGCGAAAGCGUGGGGAGCGAACAGG
rnacentral:rRNA from 1 species